GCACACACACUCUCACAUUUAAACACCUACACAUGUGUUGUGAGGCGGCGAGUCCUGUGGCGGAGUCGGGUCGUCGCCUCAGUUUUGGACAAACACUCCGAGAGGCACGUCAGGGCCUAGCGUUCGCGCUUCUCGUCUCGAUUCCGUGUGCGUUGUGCUGUGUGAUGUGUGAUGUGUGUGUGCCAGUGUGAGCUUGCCUAUGAAAAUCCAGAAAAGGCAACAAAUUCUUCUUCGCUGGCAAAUGCUGUAAUCGGCGUUAAAUUGCCUACAAUAAUCAAAAUACAAAAAUAAAUAAUAUACAUUCAAAAUACAGUAACAAAUAAAACCAACAACAACAACAGCAAAUUCGUUAAGCAGCAAAGAUGUGCGGAGCAGCGCCAUUUCGGCUGUCAAAACUGUCAAGUGCGGCGCCCUUCAUAUUGUUCUUUCCCCAUCAGUGUCAGAGCCAACAAGAACUGCAAUGAAUUAAAAACAACAACAAAAAUAAACAAUAACAAAAGCUAUAACAAGAAGAGGAAGAAGUAGACAAAGUGUUAGCAUUAUAAUGCAAAUAUUAAAGCUGCCGGCGAGAUUAAUCAAAAGUAAAGCAAAAAUUAAAAUCAACUCAUUCAAUACAAAUGAAGACGCUGGCGAGCGUCUUCCUUUCACCGUCUGACUGACUGUGACUCUCUCGCUCUCGCUCUCUGUCUCACCAUCUCCCCCACUGUCUUGUGCGCGCUAUCUCUAUCUAUUGCUCGCCUGAAUGCCCGCCUGCACACGUACUCCCGCUUAACCGUUAACUACUCACGCGCGCGCUCUUUGCCACUCGCUGCCGCUCUCUUGCUCAGUCCCGCUCUCGCUCUGGUGGCUCUCUGUGCGGUGGGAGUGUGAGCCUUGGUUGGUUGGUCAAACAGCUGUUUAUCCGGUCUCCUUGUGCGUCGACGCGUGUGUACAUAACCUCAAUUGGCAGCAGUUCGUGUCGCGCCCGUUGCGUACUCGGGCCGCUCUUGAAUGUCGCGGUAGGCGGCGACGCCAGCUGCCAGCGCUGCCAGCGCUGCCAACGCAACGUCGGCGUCAACGUCAGCGUCAGCGUUAGCUUUGACAUACGCUGCAAGUGUCCAACACUCGCACUCGUACUCUCUCUAUCCCACUGCCUGUCUCCAUCUCUCCCUCUUUUUCUCUCUCGCUCUCUCAGUCUCUAUCAAAUUGACGAGUGCAACGCGAACGGCAACGACAGCGACAACGACUAACCCUAGGAGCAGCUCUCAGGCCGAGCCGCAGGCUUUGGCUG